UAUUUAUUUUUUUUUUACACAUUUUGACUUAAUGACAUUAAAGAUUCAGAGACAUUAGUUUAUAAAUAUUAAAAUUAUGCUCAUUGAACUUACAAUAUCUCAAUAAGAAACUAUCCAAAAAAUAAACACUAAUGUCCCUCCAAUAAUAAAACAAGUUUUUGCACUGGUCUUUCAAUUAUGAACGGUUUGUUAAUGCGCUUGCCCUCUGCACUAAGCUUCGUGUCACCUAAAAUAAUCUUGGCUCUUCUUACAAAUUGGCACUGAGGCCAACGAGCAGGAAGCAGCCGCCCCUCGCGCCCCGGACCGAAGAGGGGAGCGCGUGCGACCGCCGGACUCUGUCCCUUACUGGACCCUUCCUUCCUGAACACUGCCCCACCUACACGAGCCCCGCAGCAUGAUGAGGACACCAGAUUCCCCAUUUCUUUUGAACACUCUUCCCCUUUGGACACUUUAUUCCCCGUUUUUGUGUUACUUUUCUGAUGCCACACCCACUGUGUCUGUGGUUUGCUCCUCGAUCCCGCCACAGAGUAUUAACGCAAACCUUAUCUCAGGAAUCAGAGGUUACAUUAGUAACUUUAGUACAUAGUACAUAAGUAACAGAACAUUUUUGUCCUGACUCUCUGGCCCACCGAAGUUUGCUGUGUAAUUUCACCCUGAAAUAUUAGGGGAAUUAUUGAAAUAAUCCUAAGUGAAGGAUUUUGGUAAUAAUAACAUUUCAAUCUCAGCUUCAAAGCAGCUUUUCAUAUCACACUUCUCUCCAUAUUGCACUUUUCCAGGUGAUGUUUGUCUGAUCACGUCCCACACUGAAUGCCAGACUGUCAGAGGGAGAGUUAAGAUGGUGCUGUGAAUGUGGAACAUCACAUGCAAAUUUAGACAGUUGGCAUGUGGUGUCAGAGUUAUGAAGAAAGUAUUUGAACAGAGUGACACUCUGUCGUCAGGCAAGUAACACCCAGAAAAGUUAAAAGCAAUGCAUUUGCCAUGACAUUUAUAGACAUGGCCAGUCCUUUGACAGAUCACUCUGGUAGUAUCAUAAUGCAGGGAGUUGUAUGGAAUGUGAAACAAACAUCAAGUACAACCAGUUUCUGAGUUAAUAAUACACAACAUUUGAUAUAAAACACAUACAUUAAUGCAAGGACGGCUGCAACACAUUUUGUUUCUUACUUUCUGAAGUGGUUCAGUGUACAAAAUUGACAUUUGUGUGAAGAUGGCUGACUGGAGCGGAUCAUCCAGGCAACCUGGUGAGAUUUUUGUAAAUUCUAUGAAAUAAUGCAGUUCUGUGAACACAUAAGGCAUGUGGAUUCGAAAUAGCAUUGCAUUCAGAGAUUAAAUAACGUACAGCACAUACAGAAAGACAUUUCUUUACAUUUAAGCAACAUUAUUUUUAAAUGAUUUUAGCUUAAUGUUUAAUUUUUGUAACAGGGGAAUAUCAGUUCAAUAGAAGAGGAAGCAUACAUGAACCUCCGAGCGUUUUGCAGAAGACCACGCUAUCAUCUACAGAAGAAUGGAAACCCAUCACAGGUGCAGAAUCUUCUGGAGAUCAUCGAGAAGAUGGUGGAGAAAAAUGGAGGCAAUCCCAUGAAGAUUUCUGAAGACACAAGGCCAUUUCUGAUGACAAAAGAGCCAAACAAAAUACCUCUGGAGUCCUUACAGAGGUCAGAAAUCCAUGGGAAAUUCAAGAGAUCAGAAUGUGAGUAUAUAUUUAUAUAUAUAAAUAAUAAUAGAAUCAUUCUCGAUAGUUUUUUC